rnacentral:rRNA from 1 species
AGAGUGAACGCUGGCGGCAGGCCUAACACAUGCAAGUCGAACGGCAGCGCGAGAGAGCUUGCUCUCUUGGCGGCGAGUGGCGGACGGGUGAGGAUAACGUCGGAAUCUGCCUAUUUGUGGGGGAUAACGUAGGGAAACUUACGCUAAUACCGCAUACGACCUACGGGUGAAAGCGGAGGACCUUCGGGCUUCGCGCAGAUAGAUGAGCCGACGUCGGAUUAGCUAGUUGGGCGGGUAAAGGCCCACCAAGGCGACGAUCCGUAGCUGGUCUGAGAGGAUGAUCAGCCACACUGGGACUGAGACACGGCCCAGACUCCUACGGGAGGCAGCAGUGGGGAAUAUUGGACAAGUGGGCGCAAGCCUGAUCCAGCCAUGCCGCGUGUGUGAAGAAGCCUUCGGUUGUAAGCACUUUGUACGGAAGAAAAGUCUUUACGGUUAAUACCCGGAAUACGAUGACGGUACCGUAAGAAUAAGCACCGCUAACUUCGCGCCAGCAGCCGCGUAAC